UAUAUAUAAUUAAUAUAUAAUUAAUAAAUGAAAACAAGAGACACAGAGAAAGUGCAAAUAAACAGAGAGACUGCGUACAUACAGACAAUAGAAGACUAACAUAGACCACACCUUCUCAUUAUAUAACAGAAGUUAACACAGGGGCCAGUCACCCAUCCGCACCAUCUCAUUAUAUAACAGAAGUUAACACAGGGGGCCAGUCACCCAUCCACACCAUCUCAUUAUAUAACAGAAGUUAACACAGGGGGCCAGUCAUCCAUCCACACCAUCUCAUUAUAUAACAGAAGUUAACACGCUGUCCAGUCACCCAUCCACACCAUCUCAUUAUAUAACAGAAGUUAACACAGGGGCCAGUCACCCAUCCACACCAUCUCAUUAUAUAACAGAAGUUAACACAGGGGCCAGUCAUCCAUCCACACCAUCUCAUUAUAUAACAGAAGUUAACACGGGGGCCAGUCACCCAUCCACACCAUCUCAUUAUAUAACAGAAGUUAACACGGGGGCCAGUCACCCAUCCACACCAUCUCAUUAUAUAACAGAAGUUAACACGGGGGCCAGUCACCCAUCCACACCAUCUCAUUAUAUAACAGAAGUUAACACAGGGGCCAAAUCACCCAUCCACACCUUCUCAUUAUAUAACAGAAGUUAACACAGGGGGCCAGUCACCCAUCCACACCUUCUCAUUAUAUAACAGAAGUUAACACAGGGGCCAGUCAUCCAUCCACACUGAACAUUAUAUAACAGAAGUUAACAGAGGGGGCCAGUCAUCCAUCCACACCAUCUCAUUAUAUAACAGAAGUUAACACAGGGGCCAGUCACCCAUCCACACCUUCUCAUUAUAUAACAGAAGUUAACACAGGGGCCAGUCACCCAUCCACACCAUCUCAUUAUAUAACAGAAGUUAACACAGGGGCCAGUCAUCCAUCCACACCAUCUCAUUAUAUAACAGAAGUUAACACAGAGGCCAGUCACCCAUCCACACCAUCUCAUUAUAUAACAGAAGUUAACACAGGGGCCAGUCAUCCAUCCACACCUUCUCAUUAUGUAACAGAAAUUAACACAGGGGCCAGUCACCCAUCCACACCUUCUCAUUAUAUAACAGAAGUUAACAUGGGGGCCAGUCACCCAUCCACACCAUCUCAUUAUAUAACAGAAGUUAACACAGGGGCCAGUCACCCAUCCCCACCAUCUCAUUAUAUAACAGAAGUUAACACGGGGGCCAGUCAUCCAUCCACACCAUCUCAUUAUAUAACAGAAGUUAACACAGGGGCCAGUCACCCAUCCACACCAUCUCAUUGUAUAACAGAAGUUAACACAGGGGCCAGUCACCCAUCCACACCAUCUCAUUAUAUAGCAGAAGUUAACACAGGGGCCAGUCACCCAUCCACACCAUCUCAUUAUAUAACAGAAGUUAACACAGGGGCCAGUCAUCCAUUCACACCAUCUCAUUCUAUAACAGAAGUUAACACAGGGGCCAGUCAUCCAUCCACACCAUCUCAUUAUAUAACAGAAGUUAACAGAGGGGCCAGUCACCCAUCCACACCAUCUCAUUAUAUAACAGAAGUUAACACAGGGGCCAGUCAUCCAUCCACACCAUCUCAUUAUAUAACAGAAGUUAACACGGGGGCCAGUCACCCAUCCACACCAUCUCAUUAUAUAACAGAAGUUAACACAGGGGCCAGUCAUCCAUCCACACCAUCUCAUUAUAUAACAGAAGUUAACACAGGGGCCAGUCAUCCAUCCACACCAUCUCAUUAUAUAA